rnacentral:rRNA from 1 species
AUUGUGCUUGCACAGAUGACGACCGGCGCACGGGUGCGUAACGCGUAUAGAACCUACCUUUUACAGAGGAAUAGCCUUUAGAAAUGAAGAUUAAUGCCUCAUGGUAUUGUAGACUGGCAUCAGUUUAUAAUUAAAGAUUUAUCGGUAAAAGAUGGCUAUGCGUCCUAUUAGUUAGUUGGUAAGGUAACGGCUUACCAAGACAGCGAUAGGUAGGGGUCCUGAGAGGGAGAUCCCCCACACUGGUACUGAGACACGGACCAGACUCCUACGGGAGGCAGCAGUGAGGAAUAUUGGACAAUGGAGGAGACUCUGAUCCAGCCAUGCCGCGUGUAGGAAGAAUGCCCUAUGGGUUGUAAACUACUUUUAUACAGGAAGAAACACUGGUAUGUAUACCAGCUUGACGGUACUGUAAGAAUAAGGACCGGCUAACUCCGUGCCAGCAGCCGCGGUAAUACGGAGGGUCCGAGCGUUAUCCGGAAUCAUUGGGUUUAAAGGGUCCGCAGGCGGUCGAUUAAGUCAG